rnacentral:rRNA from 1 species
UACAGGGGGGGCAAGCGUUGUUCGGAAUUACUGGGCGUAAAGGGCCAGUAGGCGGCCGACUAAGUCCGACGUGAAAUCCCCAGGCUUAACCUGGGAACUGCGUCGGAUACUGGUUGGCUUGAAUUCGGGAGAGGGAUGCAGAAUUCCAGGUGUAGCGGUGAAAUGCGUAGAUAUCUGGAGGAAUACCGGUGGCGAAGGCGGCAUCCUGGACCGACAUUGACGCUGAGGCGCGAAAGCUAGGGGAGCAAACGGG